GGAGAGUCAGAGACGCAGCAUGUUCCAGCCUACAAGAGACAGCUACUAAAGCACCAUGCUUAAAAACCUUAUUUUCACCAGGAUGUAAAUGUUAUUUACAACUGCCUCUCCUUAUCAAUGGACUAAGGAGUACAUAAGAGCACAAUACAGUGCUUCAGGAUUCUGAACUUGCAGAAAGCACCAUGAUCCAUAUUUCCUACCCACUCCUGUCUCUGGACAAUGGUAUUGCAGCUCAAAUCCAGGAGCACGUGCCUGCCUGAGCCCCAGCAGUGUGUGGGCAGAGCUGACAGUCACUGAGUGAGUGGAGCAGAUGCUGAAGCACUGAGAGAAAAUCUGCAGAGCAGCAGAACUUGCCCAGAAGGAUAUUCUGUAAGUGCAGCAAGUCAACUGGCAAGGAAACGGGAGCAGCAUCCCCUGGGCAGGAGCAUGAGCUGGUACCACACUGUGAUCUUGUGUCUGUAGCCCUGAGAUCCUCUAAGGGUGCCCCUAAAGUGGGACUGGACUGAACAUCCCCAGUGCCUGAACCAACUCAGCACAGAACAGCCCCACCUGAGCCCAGAAAGUGGAUUUGGGAUUGCCCUGAGCAGCUGCUGCUUCCCAGUGCCUGCUGAGGAACACGGAGAAGUGCACUUUUAACACCCAGCAACAGAGAGUGAGAGCUGCUGCUGCUCAGAAGGCACAGGUUCCAUCUUAUCUGGUGCAGUUGGCUGGGUGCCUGUGUACAGUACAUCCAGUUUGUUUUUCCAGCAGCCACCACUGCAGUGGGAGCUGAGGUGGAGGAGUGGAACCUCCCCAAGCCUAAUUCCCAAAUCCAGGAAGGGUUUGCCAGCCUGAGUAUAUUCUAAGGUGAUGAAUACUGUGGGUGAGCUCUGUUAUAGCAAGACUUUGUGUAAAUUCAAUGUCUUUCAAUGAGUCAGCUCCAGAUUCUUUUGGUUUUGCUUUAGAAUGAUGUGAAACUCACAGUCUGGUUUGAUUUCAAUAUGAACACAGGUGAGACUUGUCAAUUCUGGCUCAAUUUUGCCUUGAAAGCUGAUGGUGCUUGGGUUUUUUUGUUCUUUUUUCCUAAGCCAAGUAAUCAAAUAGUAGGAAUAUAUAAAAUAUUUGUUUACCUGUCAAUAUUAAAUCCUGUGUUCUGGCCUUUACAAACUGAACUGUGGGUUUGUGGUUUGGUGCAUUUGCAAAUGAGGCCACGCUAAGAAAAAUUGAGCAAACACAAGCUGAGAUUUUUGCCAUUGCUAGGAAGUCAUCAGAUCCCUCUUCUCAUCUACACGACGAAAGAACAUGAGCUGGUAAAACAAAAUCUCUGAAAAGUUUUGUGUUUUCCUGCUUGAAUAAAACCGAGGGGAUAUGAACUUGUAUUUUCAUAUAUAUAAGUUAAAGUAGUCAUUUAAAUGUAUGGUUACACAAAAAUAAUCCUGCAGUAAGUCAAAUUCUCAAUUCAUGCCUUCAGACAGCCAACAUGAACUCAGAAAAGAGGGAAAGGGGUGAAUAAAAAGGGGAAAAUUAAGUGGAAGGUCUUGAAGGGAAAGGAAAUAACUGUGAGGAAUUAAAGGUAGAGAAAAAGUUUGAUAAAUAGGAAUAAGGUUCUGAGAUAAAGAACUCCCUCCUGUCCACAUGCAGGAUAUGUGGCUGAACCCCAAGACUCUGAUAGCCAAAUAAAAGUGCUGGAUGCACAGAAAUCCCUGCAUCUUCCCAUGGCAGAGAGCUUAGUUUGGGUCUGUCAUUACUGCCUGUGAAGCAAACAUGACUAUAAAAAGGGAAAAGUUCAUUUUAUUCUGCUUCAAUUCUUUCAUUUCAUUUCAUUUCAAUUCUCUUAUUUCCAACCAAAGUAGUUUUAUUCUUUAAACAUUUCUUCCCAUGCCAGUGGCCUUGCUUCCAACCUUUUGACUUUGGCAAGAAGCAGCCUAAGUCAAUAAAAAAGAACUCCAAGUGUCGUGCACAAUAAAGCCUUGGGUACAGUGUUCCAAAUGACUGUAAAGAAAAAUUUACUGAAAAGCAGGCAAAGAACUCAUAUCUAGAAAUCAAAUCUCUGCUUGUAAAAGUCAGAGGUUAAAUUCUUUUAUUAAAAAAGCACUUACAUGUAUCUUUCAGGCAUGCCCUAUCCUUGCUUAAAUAUUUGAGGGCAGGGAAAUCACCGGCAUAGGCAAGAACAUUUCCAUAGAUGUAUGUUAGAAAUCUACAGCACAAAAUUAAAUUACUUCCCUCUUCUAAAUGACAUUUCUACUUUUCACCUAUCAAGUACUAUGGGCUCUAAUACAACUUCUGAAAGGCAAAAGGAAAAGUAAAAUAACAGGAACAAAAGACACAUCCCAGUGUGUAUUUAUUUUACUUUGUAAUUCAUGUCAGUCCAAUUGUGCUGCAGGCUAUUUAGUUUAUGAAAUGCUGAAGUUUGAAAACUACACCCAGAAUUAUUUUUGGAUUGUAUUCUGAAGAUAUAUAACCCAGGAAUGAUUGAUUUGCGUGUUUUGAGGUUUUGUAGUUUGCUCAGUUUGUGCUUAAAUUCUAAUGCAGGAAGGCUUUAAAAAUCAUGUGCAUAACAAAGGGGGAGGAACAUCUUUAUCCAACUGCCAUUUUCUGAUGUGAAGACUAAAUUUUAAAAGUAGGCAUUGACUUUUAGAUGGUCAAAAUAGAAGUCCCUCUCUUGACUUCCACAAGUGGAGGGGAAGGAUUUGGAACUGCUUUCCUAGUUGUCCAAAGCAGAUCCAUAAAAUGGCUGCUUCUCUCAGGCUUUCACAAUCCCAUUAAUUUUAUUGUGUGAGGUACUGGUCUUCUGAGAGAUGGAGUUCAUUACUUCGUAUUUUGUGCCCCCCUUAAUGGAUAUGCUUAAUUAUACAGCUUCUGGUCUAAAUGAUGUUUUAGGAUGUUCACGUAUGGUUUCCCUUUGCUGGGAUUUGGGAACAAACUUCCACCACCUCUCUCAGAAAUGCAUUUUGGCCAUGUUGCAGAGCUGGGAACUUGCUGAAUGCCUGACCACAGGAGCCUUUUUCUGCUGUGCCCCAGUGCAAGGAAAAUUCAAUUUUCAGUUGUGCCCUGCCAGGGCUCAUUCUGUGGAUUGUCAAUGGCACUCGUGGUCCUGACUCCCUUUGGAGAUUUUCACCAUGGAAAAUAUUUCCCCAGAGCUGUCCAAGUACAGGGAUCACUUACCUUUUAUCUCCUGCUCAUCCUGUGGAAUAAAUAUCAAGAUCACCCACUCCUGGGUGGCAGGCUGGAGGAUUUUGGUUUGUUUCCCUCUCCAGAACCCCGAUGUUGUCACAGCUGAGUCUCCGCAGUCUGGGGGAAUUGGUCCCAUCUGGAGGGACUGAAAGCUCUGCACCCCCUGCUCUUGCUGUCAGUGGGGAACAGGAGAGAGAUCUCCCAGGGCUUUUGGCUCCCAGUCCCAAGCAGAAGUGGGAAAAGGAGGUUUUUUGAAGAGCCAUAGCCUGCGUGCAAGGAGGGAAAGCGCUGCAGAGGCUGCUGCAGGAGCCCUGGGCCUGCAGUGUGCCAUGCUCGCCUGCAGCCCAUGGCAAGAAGCAGCUCUGGAGGCUCCACCAGAGCUCCCAUUCCAUGCAAAGUCCUGUGAAAAAGCCCCUCACCCUUCAGUGGAGCCCUGGUUCCAUGUCCCUUGGGCCUGUGUGACAAUGGGAGCAGGGAACACACCUGGCUGGGAGUCAGGCUGGGACUGGCCUGGUUGUCACCAGCCCUGCCAGCCACACAAACUGACCCUGAGCUCAUUUUCAGGGUGUAAAACCAGAUCCCUGCCUCGUUGCUUUGGGCAAUUCACUGUCUGUGCCACCUGUCACACAAGGGCACACUCUUGUGACACCCAGCCCCGCUGCUUCAGGGAGCAGAGGCUUGCCCAAGCAUUUUGUGAAAUACAAAGGCAAACAAUUCCACAAUCAGCGCUCCUCAAAAAUGUAGACUGGCUUUUAUGUUCCUUUCCCAGUCAAACCUCCUCAAAACCUCAAAGGAUUCUUCUUUCAUAGACAAGAAGAGAAAUAUCACACAGAAGGGGACAAAGAAAAUCAUAAGAAAGCACCAGCUCUGGUCAUUAAUUUAUUUCCAUAAUGAACGUGCCCCAGAUUUUGGGCUCACUUUUUCCAGUUGUGGUUUAAAAUUCUGAAAAUUUGUUGCUUCCCCUCUGAAAAAAUGUAGAUUAUCUGACAUGGAAACUUAAGACCUAAUUCAUACUCCCAUACACCCAUCAUUUUUUUGCUGUAAAAUAAAGUCUAUGAAACCCCCUGUGUGGUGAGGGGAAAUGGAAAUAUACAGAGGGGGAUCUGACCCAAGAGAAAAUGCUUUCCUUUCUCAACUACCAAAAUGCAUCCUUUAAAUCCAUGCUCUCAGUCUAUUCCAUCCAGAUGGUUCCUGCUGCUCUUAUCAAUGGCAAAAUAUUCUAUUUAUCCUUCCAAUAUUUUUCUUUUAAACUGCUCUGGAAGGUAAGUGCGUGAAACUGAUCUUCAUAAAAAAUUGCAUCUUUGAAAUCAGAGCUUCAAUUUCACCAUAAUACUGAUAUAAAAAAUUGCCACUGAAGAGCUUCUUUUUUGACACAUUAAAAACAAAACUAUAGUUGAGAAACAUUACUGAACCUCAGCCAGAGACAGAAAAAAUAUGGCAUCCAGCUCUGUUUGCAUCUCACUGAUUUUAUACUGAUCUAGCCAGUGGCAGAAUGAUGGAUUUAAUUUGUUUUUGACUCAUGCUGUUUUAACUCCAGGAAUAACAAAACAAAAAAGCUUCUAUGUUUUAGACAGGUUGGCUUCGUUACACCAUCAGCACCAUUCCCCUUAUGGCCAAAGAAGUGUCAGUAUUAAAGAUAAUUACAAGUGUAAAAGAAACUCCAUAACCUAAAUUAGUGGAUGCACUAUGUUAUCUACAGAAAGAAGAACUGGGUGUGUUAUGUACUGUGCUCAAGGCUAACUAAAUUCCUUAGCUUUAGAUACUUUGGCAUUAAUUACCUGUAAUUAUUUUUGUCCUUUCAUUGUGAUUUAUGUUGGUCUGAAUCAUCACUAAAAACCUAAUUAAAUCAGCUAUUUCCUU